CACGUAGGGUGCGAGCGUUGUCCGGAAUUAUUGGGCGUAAAGAGCUCGUAGGCGGUUUGUCGCGUCUGCCGUGAAAGUCCGGGGCUCAACUCCGGAUCUGCGGUGGGUACGGGCAGACUAGAGUGAUGUAGGGGAGACUGGAAUUCCUGGUGUAGCGGUGAAAUGCGCAGAUAUCAGGAGGAACACCGGUGGCGAAGGCGGCUCACUGGCCCGGUACUGACGCUGAGGAGCGAAAGCGUGGGGAGCAAACAGG
rnacentral:rRNA from 1 species